UGUGCUUAGGGGUGACUAGCUGUAAC
rnacentral:piRNA from 1 species